rnacentral:rRNA from 1 species
UAAAACUUUCAACAACGGAUCUCUUGGUUCUGGCAUCGAUGAAGAACGCAGCGAAAUGCGAUAAGUAAUGUGAAUUGCAGAAUUCAGUGAAUCAUCGAAUCUUUGAACGCACAUUGCACCCUCUGGUAUUCCGGAGGGUAUGCCUGUUCGAGCGUCAUU